rnacentral:rRNA from 1 species
UACGUAGGGUGCGAGCGUUGUCCGGAAUUAUUGGGCGUAAAGAGCUCGUAGGCGGUGUGUCACGUCGUUCGUGAAAACCUGCAGCUUAACUGUGGGCGUGCGGUCGAUACGGGCAUCACUGGAGUUCGGCAGGGGAGACUGGAAUUCCUGGUGUAGCGGUGAAAUGCGCAGAUAUCAGGAGGAACACCAGUGGCGAAGGCGGGUCUCUGGACAGUUCCUGACGCUGAGGCACGAAGGUCAGGGGAGCAAACGGG